CUGGCUCAGGACGAACGCUGGCGGCGUGCUUAACACAUGCAAGUCGAACGAUGAAGCCUAGCUUGCUAGGUGGAUUAGUGGCGAACGGGUGAGUAAUACGUGAGUGACCUACCUUUGACUCUGGGAUAAGCCUGGGAAACUGGGUCUAAUACCGGAUACGACCAAUCUCCGCAUGGGGUGUUGGUGGAAAGCGUUAUGGAGUGGUUUUAGAUGGGCUCACGGCCUAUCAGCUUGUUGGUGAGGUAAUGGCUUACCAAGGCGACGACGGGUAGCCGGCCUGAGAGGGUGACCGGCCACACUGGGACUGAGACACGGCCCAGACUCCUACGGGAGGCAGCAGUGGGGAAUAUUGCACAAUGGGCGCAAGCCUGAUGCAGCGACGCCGCGUGAGGGAUGACGGCCUUCGGGUUGUAAACCUCUGUUAGCAUCGAAGAAGCGAAAGUGACGGUAGGUGCAGAGAAAGCGCCGGCUAACUACGUGCCAGCAGCCGCGGUAAUACGUAGGGCGCGAGCGUUGUCCGGAAUUAUUGGGCGUAAAGAGCUUGUAGGCGGUUGGUCGCGUCUGCUGUGAAAGGCUGGGGCUUAACCCUGGUUUUGCAGUGGGUACGGGCUAACUAGAGUGCAGUAGGGGAGACUGGAAUUCCUGGUGUAGCGGUGGAAUGCGCAGAUAUCAGGAGGAACACCGAUGGCGAAGGCAGGUCUCUGGGCUGUAACUGACGCUGAGAAGCGAAAGCAUGGGGAGCGAACAGGAUUAGAUACCCUGGUAGUCCAUGCCGUAAACGUUGGGCACUAGGUGUGGGGGACAUUCCACGUUUUCCGCGCCGUAGCUAACGCAUUAAGUGCCCCGCCUGGGGAGUACGGCCGCAAGGCUAAAACUCAAAGGAAUUGACGGGGGC
rnacentral:rRNA from 1 species